rnacentral:lncRNA from 1 species
UUUAAUCUUCUGCUAUCUAUUCUUCAUGUCACUUUUCAUUUUUAUUUGUCUUUAGGUGGGAAGUUUGGAAUUAAGAACUCAAAAAAAAGUACUUCUGCAAAAACUACAUUUCAUAGUGAAAUAGAGGAUAAAGAUACAAGAGAUGAUUCACUGUAUUCCGUUUUAGAAGAACUGUGGCAAGAUGCUGAACAGAUAAAAAUAUGCCAGGAAAAACAGAACAGCCCUUUGAAUCACACUGAUUUUAUCAAUAAGAAAAUAUUGAACACAGAAUGGGAUUAUGAAUAUACAGACAUUGGAAGUUGUGUACAUCCAAGCCCAAAUCUCAUUCCUUCACAGAAAAGACCCCAUAAACAUGACUCAUUUGAAAAACGUUUUAGGCAUAAUAUGGACUUACAUAUUCAUAAUAAAAACAAUACAACAAAGAACUUUGAUAAAAUUGUUAGUCAUGGUCAAGUUUUCACCCAGAACACUUCCUUUACUAACCAUGAAAAUUCACAUAUGGGAGUGAAGUUCUGCGAAAGUGAUCAGUGUGAAAAAGUCCUCAAACAUGCACUCAGUCAAAAUCUGAAAUUUCCUGUUGGGGAGAAAGCAAGCACAUGUGCUGAAUUUGGAAAGAUCUUCACCCAAAAGUCGUAUCUCUUUGCACCUCCAAAAAUUCAUACUGUGGAAAAACCUCAUGAACUUAACAAAUGUGUAAAUGCAUUUACACAGAAGCCACUACUCAGUAUAUAUCUGAGAGUUCAUAGAAAUGAAAAACUAUACAUAUGUUCUCAAUGUGGAAAGGCUUUCCUCCAGAAUUCAGAAUUAAUGAUGCAUGAGAAAAGUCAUACUAGAGAGAAACCCUAUAAAUGCACUGAAUGUGGAAAGUCAUUUUUCCAGCUGUCAUCUCUACUCAGGCAUCAGACAACUCAUACUGGAGAAAAACUCUAUGAAUGCAGUGAAUGUGGGAAAGGCUUUUCCCUGAACUCAGCACUCAAUAUACAUCAGAAAAUCCAUACUGGAGAGAGACAUCACAAAUGUAGUGAGUGUGGAAAAGCCUUCACCCAGAAGUCAACACUCAGGAUGCAUCAGAGAAUUCACACAGGAGAGAGAUCCUAUAUAUGCACUGAAUGUGGACAGGCUUUCAUCCAGAAGGCCCACUUGAUUGCACAUCAAAGAAUUCAUACCGGAGAGAAGCCUUAUGAAUGCAGUGAUUGUGGGAAAUCUUUUCCUUCUAAGUCCCAACUCCAGAUGCAUAAGCGAAUUCACACAGGAGAAAAACCCUAUAUAUGCAAUGAAUGUGGGAAGGCCUUCACCAACAGGUCAAAUCUCAAUACUCACCAGAAGUCUCAUACUGGAGAGAAGUCUUAUAUAUGUGCUGAAUGCGGGAAGGCCUUCACUGACAGGUCAAAUUUCAAUAAACACCAGACCAUUCAUACAGGAGAAAAACCCUAUGUUUGUGCUGAUUGUGGACGAGCCUUCAUCCAGAAGUCAGAGUUAAUUACACAUCAGAGAAUUCAUACUACAGAGAAGCCUUAUAAAUGUCCUGACUGUGAGAAAUCCUUCUCCAAGAAACCACAUCUCAAAGUACAUCAGCGAAUUCACACAGGAGAGAAACCGUACAUAUGUGCAGAGUGUGGGAAGGCCUUCACUGACAGGUCAAAUUUCAAUAAACAUCAGACAAUUCAUACUGGAGAUAAACCCUAUAAAUGCAAUGACUGUGGAAAGGGCUUCACCCAGAAAUCCGUUCUUAGUAUGCAUCGCAAUAUUCAUACAUGAAAUAACCCUGUUUCUUAAAAAUGAGAGAGCCUUACCGUAGAAGUCAGGUCUACUCAUGUAUUAUAAAAUUCAUCUAAGACAGACCUUGUAUGAGUACACUGUAUUAAAAAAAGCAUUCAUCAGGCUAUCUCACCUGAGAUGAAAAAAAAAAAAUUAGAAGAGACCCUAUAAGAAUACAUUGAAGAAAGGGGAAUUUGGGGGCUGGGGUUGUGACUCAGUGACACAGCGCUUGCCUAGCAUGUGUGAAGCGCAGGGUUUGAUCCUCAGCACCACAUACAAAUAAACAAAAUAAAGGUCCAUUGACAACUAAAAGAUAUUUAAAAAGGGUGGGGGGUGAAUUUAACAUUUACACAGCCUCACAAAAUACAAUAGAAUUAACAUUGAGAAUGCUAUCAGUUUGGUACAUUAGGAAAAUCCUUCCUAUAGAAAGUAUCAUGAGGCAAAUUAUUACCAAAUGCUUUAUAGGUUGGAGGAUGCAAAUUUAUAGAAAUGACAGUCAUGUUUUCUAUGUUAUAGUAAGCAGUUUAACAAGAAAAUAAUGUAUUCGUUGUGCAGACCUUUUCAGUUCUUUUCGCUGUUUGUGGUAAAAUAUUGCAUAACAUAUUGCAUAAUUGAAUUGAAAUUCUUUUUUAAAAUUUAGAAUGUUUAUCAAAUGUUUGUUAUUGAACAUAUCUAUCAGAUGAAUUCAUAAGUUUAAAGUUAUUUUGGCUUUUUAUAUACGCACAUCUGCAGAUAUAAUUUUAUAUGAACAUAUACUGUUUUCAUACUGUUUUCCAUGACAUAGUAUUCUUCUUUCAUUGUAUACAAUGCAAAAUAGCCACAGAUUCCUCCCAUCCAUUUAUGCGUGGCCCCUUUUGCAAUGGUACCUUGUUGUUUCUCUUAUUAAGUAUAUUAUAGCUUGGAUAUGAAGUAUCCCCUAAAAGCCCCUGUGUUAACUGCAAGAAUGUUCAGAGGUGAAAUGAUUAGAUUAUCAGAGCUAUAACCUGACCAGCCCAUCCUAGUUUGAAUGGACUAACUGGGUGAUAGCUGUAUGUAGGUAGGGCAUGGCUCAAAGAGGUGGGUCACUGGGGGUAUGACCUGGAAAGUUCGUCUUCCCUGCAGCCCCUUCCCCCCUUUCUCUCUGCUUCCUGGUCACUAUGAGCUGAUAGCCUUCCUCCAGGGCACUCUUUAGUCAUUGUGCUACACCUCACCACAGGCCCAGAGUGAUGGAAGUGGCUGACCACGGACAGAACCUUGGAAACCAUGAGCCGGAAGUAAACUUUUCCUCCUUUAGAUUGGUUUUGUCAGGUAUUUUGUUUAUAGCAACAAAAAGCUAACACAGAGUACUUCUUAUCUGCCGUUGCUCCUUGACUUUCAACUUGGCCAUGUGAUUUGCUUUGGCCAAUGGACAUUAGCAAAGAGAUUCAAGAAGAGGCUGGAGAAGUGUGAAAGCCUGCCUUGAGGCUUACCCUUUUGUGCUGCUCUUUGGAAUCCUGAGAUCUCAAUGUUAAGAAGCACAGAUGCCCUACUGUGGGAUGAGAAGCCACAUAGAACAGAGGUGAGCCAGCUUAGCUGAUGCCCCAUAGAUCAAUUUACCUAUGGGCUUGGGAAUGAGUCCAUCCUAAGUCUAUGUCCCCAGCCAAACCAGCCCAGCCCAAAAUUGCCAUGUCAGUUAUACCAGCCAACCUGCAGAAUUCUGAGUUAAAUAAGUGAUCAUUGUUUUAGGCAGCUAUAUUUUGGGGUAGUUUGUUGCAUAUCAAAUUCUAAAUAAUACUUAAAAGUAUAUGUGUGUGAAUUGUAUUAUACCCAAAUAUAAUAUGGCAUUGGCUUUGGGCCUGAGAAGCUAAUCUAAUAGAGACUGGAGAAUAAUGAGGAAAUCUGUUUGCAAAAUCUGGGAAAAUGACAACCUAUUAGAAAGGAAAAAAUAGCAAAUCAUCACCAUGCUCUGUGGGACUAUAGAGAAGGUACCAAAUGAACUUGUGGAUCUGACUAAGAGAUUUGCCAUGGAAUAUGGUUGUCAGUUUGCUGCUUUUAACCACAUAUGAUAAGGUACAGAAUGAGAGAAAUGAAUUAAAGAAAUACUUGUUCCCCUGGCAAGCAGCAGUUUUGGGAAAUAACUUUAGCUCUUUAGCCAUGAAAAUAUUCUCAAGAUACAAAAUGGCUGUAGGGUAAAUAUCAAGUCAUGGGUAUGUCUGUAAAACCCUUUAUUACAAUGUUUGAAAUAUUAUAUUUUAUUGGUGCUUGGAAAACCCUCUCAGUGAAAUAAUGGGUGUCUAAAAAUCUUGGUGACAUGAUUCCACAGUAGCCUGACACUGCUCUAAGUAGAAAGAGGCUUCUCAAAAAAGAAUUGUUGAUGUGGCAUUUGGGGCAUAGAGUUGACCUGAACAUAUUCAUAGGAAACUCAUAGUUUUUAAUUGAGUUUUACCUGUGGAACUACCUCCAUACUGGCCUUAAAGGAACUGAAACAAUUAAAAAUGAAAAAUGGCCUCUGGAAAUUCCUCCCUAACUUCUGUGAACUGGAUGCAAGACAACAAUGUUACUCAGCUACAAGUAUGGACCAUUUCUUAUGGGAACUGAAGGAUGUGUCAGAGGAAAGGCCCAAGAACAGUGUAUUAAAAUGGACUGGAAAGCCAUUUCCAGGAAAAACUUGCCCUAAUCAAAAAACACUAUCUGCCCCUGGAGCAAGGGGACCUGACAUUUUCUCUGUGGUAUUUCAGAAUUGUUAUGGAACAGUGACUGACACAUGCCUCUUACUGCUCUCCUGGCUGAAUGGGAGUACCUAUUGCAGUUAGUCUCUUUCUCCCCAUGUAUAUCUUAAGUGUGUGUUUGAGAGAGGCAUGUCAAAUAACUUGUCAUUUAGCUCACAGGAUCAAGAAACUGAGAAACUGUAUUCAAAGAGCCUCGGCCACAUGUGAACCUGGUAUAGAAGACUUGGAAUCCUGGAUUUAAACCUGAUACCAUGAUUUGGGAUGGGAUAUUUAGAGAUCCUGGAAUGGGAGUGAUCAUGUUUUGCAUGGGGUGAUAAUGUGAAUAAUUUGUCAUCAGAACAUACACUGUGUUAGAAAAAUGUUACAUGUUUCCUAUCUCUAUGUGUGUGUCCUUUUCAGCUUUUAUUUCUCUUUGCAUUUCAUUUGGAAUAACUUACGUUAAUCUAUCUUCAAGAACACUGAUUUCCCAAGAUCCUGGCUCUGUCAGGUAUACUGAUGAACCUGUUGAAAGCAUUUUUUCAGUUAUGUUUUAUUUUUUAUAUUUACUAUUUCCAUUUGACUUUUAUAUCAUUUAUAUUUCUGCAAAACUUCCCCAAUUGUUCAUUCACAUUGUUCCCAUUUUCCACUAUUUCCUUAGUUUGGACUACUGUAACAAAGUACUAUAGACUGGAUGGCUUAUAAACAACAGAAAAUUAUUUUUCACAGUUCUGGAGGCUAGAAGUCUGAGAUCAGGUACCAAUAUGAUCAGGUUCUGGUGAGGACCUUUUUCUGGAUUGUAGACUACCAGGUUCUCAUUGUAUCCUUACUUGGCUUCUGAUUUUCAUAUCCUCACUAGAAAGCUCUCUGGGGUCCUUUAUAUAAGGGCAUGAAUCCCAUUUGUGAGGCCUCCAUCCUCAUGACCUACCUACCUCUCAAUGGCCCCACCUCCUGAUACCAUCUCAUUGGGGAUAAGGAUUUCAGUAUACAAAUUUUGUGGGAACACAGACAUCCAGUCUAUAAUACCCUUUAAUAUAUUUAGCCAAAUUUAUUUUAAGUUCUCUGCCUGAUAGUUCCAGUAAGUCAGCCAAGCGAGUUCCGGUCUUUUGACAGUGGGUUCCUUUCUAUUGCUGUUUUGCAUCUACAAGUUUUAGCUGAAAGUUGGAUGUUGUAUAUAGGGCAAUGUAAACUGAAAUGAAAAGUAUUUAUUCCUGGAAAUAGACAUGGCUGCUCUUCUAAUAGAUAGGCAUUAGCAUGGUGGCAUUGAGUUGAUCCAGUCAGUGGUCAGGUAGGGUUUUGGUUUUGUUGUUGCUAUUGUGAAUUUUAGUGUAACAUAGACUUCAAAUUCCUGUAAUGUUACCUUGUGUUUGAAGUAGACACUGGUUUUCCAGAGAAUUUUUCCCAAUGUUCCUGGACUGUACUUGCCUUUAGGCCUUUCCUGGGUUUCUGCAUCUCAGUGAUAGUCUCUCUAUAUUCUUGUAUCUCUCUCUUAGUAGUUGAUUUCUGGUUUUUUGUUUGUUUGUUUGGAACUGGGGAUUGAACCCAGGGGCACUUUACCCUUGAGGUAUAUCCCCAGCCCUUUUAAUUGGGGGUGGGGGGCAGAAAGUGUCUCUCUGUUGCCUGGGCUAGCUUUAAACUUAUGAUCCUCCUGCCUCAGCCUCCCAAAUUACUGGAAUUACAGGCAUGCAUCACUGUGCCCACUUAGACUGCUGCUGUUACUCGGUUCUUGCUAACUUGGUAUGGGACACAGAAGUUGUCCUGUGUCCCUGGGUCUUAACAUUUUUUUUCCCAGUGAUCCUGCCCCUCUUCCACUGGUAAGAGGUAUUUUAUUGUCUGGCCCAAGAUAGUUUCCUCCCAUUCCAUCAUGGGUAGAUUUUUUUUUUCUUUUCCUUUCCUCUAGUCACAGUGGAUCUUCACCUGUAUCCUGAGAGUGACAGGGUUUGCUGCACUGCACUAAAUGGCUUAAGGUUUUUGUUUGAUAGAAUAGGGUCCCUUGGGAUUUUGUAUCAUUUUUGUAUCAGCACUCAUCCCCCCUAGUGGCAUACCCCAUGGAAGGAUGCCUUCUCUACUUUCCCACUCUACUACUAGUGUUUCUUAUGAGCACCCAGUGGAAGUCUGUGGUGAAGAGCCUGCAGGUGGGAGCCAACAGCCCUUAGGUCUACAGCUCUCAGGGGUUCUAUAUUCUCACUAUCCCACUCUCAGCCUUUAACAGUUUAUUAGAAUUGUCCAUUUCUUUGGAUAAUGGAACAUUAGCAAAUAUGACACAAGAACUUAUAAGAAGUGUUUGCACAUUGAAGUUUGCCCACUCUUGCUGCUCUUUGGAAUCCUAAGCCCAUGUGUGAAAAGGCAGGGACUAUGAAGUUGGAAAAUGACAGACCACUUGGAGCAGUGAUGGAGCAGAUAUGAUUCAUCCCAACUGAGGCAGCUCGACCAACCAGAUUUUCAACUACCAAAUAUGUAAAUGAAGACAUCCCAGCCAGGUAUCUCUGAUCAAGGUAACUAUGGUUAGCAGUCUCUGAGCUGAUCCUGAAUGAUCCCUCACUCGUGGUAUUCAUACUCUUGUAUAAUUCUCUCUCCUUGAUUUGGGCUAGAUUUAAUGACUUGGUUCUAGAAUAAGGCGGAGGUAAUGGAUGUCACUUCCAAGAUUAGGUUACAAAAAGACUGUGGCUUCUGUUUUGGGUGCUCCUUUAAUCUCUCAGAUGGCUCAUCCUAGGGGAAGACAGCUGCCAUCUCAUUAAGUAGCCCUUUACAAAGGCCCAUGUGAGUGAAUUUGAGAGGAUAUCCUUCCCCAGUGUUGCCUUCAGGUGGGACCUUCAAGCCCGAUAGCUUUACUAACCUCAUGAGAAAUCUUCAGCCACAGGCAUACUUCUGAGCCAUACCUGAAGGGGACCCACAGAAAUUGUGAGUUAAUAAAUGUUGUUUUAAGCUGACAAAUGUUAGGGUGAUUUGUUACAUAGUCAUAGAUUAGUAAUAUAUUGGCCCAGACAAGGAAGGCUCUGCCAUCUAUUCUACCCAUCCCAGACAACUAACAGAAUAAUGGAUUACAAUGUUUAUUUUAAGUCUCUAAGUUUGUGUGGCUUGUUACCUAGAAAAAAACCUAGCUGAUAAAUUUACUAUUCAGUGAAUUUUAUCCUCCACUAUUCUUCCCCAACAGAUAACCAAUACUAAUCAACUACUAUGAACACUUCCAUGUUUUAGUCUUGCUAAUAAACCUGUAUAGAUGUACAUAUGUGAGUAUGCUUAUAAUUGUAUAGAAACUAUAUAAGGAUUGCUUUCUUCUUUAAUGCAUACUACUAUCUCUGAAUCUUGCUUUAUUACUCAACAACUCUCUUUUGAAUGGUUGCAUGAUAGUUUGUGGGGUGGAUAUGCAAGAAUCUAUGCCAUUAUUUGCAUAUUAAAAUUUCUUCAAAUUUUUGUCAUUAGGAAAAUGUUACUAAGAAUAUUAAGGAGUUGGGCUGGGGAUGUAGCACAGUGGUAGAGCACUUGACUAUCAUAUUUGAGACCCUGGUUCUGAUCCACCACACACACACACACACACACACACACACGUGUGAAGAAAUAGCUUGCCUAGGCUCAUGCCAGAGUUAUCAGUCCUUGCUUUACCAAUUUUUAGCUGUGUAACCUCGGACAGGUUAGUUAACUUCUCUUUCCUGAUUUUUUCAGCUAUAAAGAUGUUCACACUAGUUACCUAUCUUAGAUUUCACUACGAAGCAUACUCUUUUCCUGGGACUGCUUUACAAAGUACCAGGAAAAGAGUGGCCUAAACCAACAGAACUUUAUUAUACACAGUUCUGGAGGUUAGAAGUCCAAAAUCAAGGUGUCAUCAGGGCCCUGUUGUAACCUAUGAAAAUGGUAGGGAAGGGACUAUUCUAUGCCUCUUUUCUAACUGCUGGUUGUUUUGUGUGUUACUUUGCUUGUGGAUACAUCAGUCCAUUGAUAUGGCUGAUUUCUCCCUGAGGUCAUCAUGCAUCUGUCUCUGUGUCUAAAUUUUCCUUUUUUGUAAGAAUACCAGUAUAUCAGAUUAGUUCCUACCCUAAUAACUUCUUUUUAAUCUGAUAGCCUCUGUAAAGACAAUUUCCAAAUAAGGUUAUGUUCUGAGGUACUGGGGGUUAUGAUUUCCACAUAUCUUUUUAGGAGGACACAAUUCAACUCAUAUCAAGAAGUUAAUGGAUUUAUUUGUGUAAGGCACUUAGAACUUUGUAUGGAAAGAGGUUCUUAAUGACUAUUAGAUACAUCUCCUUUACUGUACUUGCUUAGGUCUCCAUACGACUUCCUGUGCUUGGGAAAGCAGUGGGAUUUGAGAAUGUCUAUGACAUUUAAAUCUCAUCCAACUACCUGAAGAGAAAUGUGGUAUAAAAAGCAAAACGCAAGCCUCAGAAUAAGGCUUAUAUGAUCAACAUUUGAGGAAUAGGCCAAGAUGGAUCCAUCUGUAGUAGAUAAUGAGAAGGAGCACCCAGAGAGGUCAAAACAUGCCAAGUGAGAAAGGAGCUCACAGAAGAGUGUUUCCAAGAUAUGUUUCAAUGGAGGGUAUGUCCAGAAUGGAGGUCAGGUUAUAUGAGAGCAGAAAACUGCUGAUUUUGUAACAGAUACGCCAUUGUUGACUUGGAUGAGUGCUAUUUUGGAAAUGAAUUUAAGGAAAGCAAUUGAGGAAACCUGAAGGAAUUUCUGAAUUCAUCAUAAAGUGACUUCUGGUAGAAAAAAUACUAGGUCAUUGGGCUGGAUUGCUCUGUGUUGUCUGGGUUAAACUGAGAAAUGAGGAUUGGCAAGAAGUAGAAUUUAUAUGAGACUUGGGAGGACAAAAGGAAGGAGCAACUUCCCCUCUAAAAGUCUUUGAAAUUAUAUACACUGAAGGACAGAUGCAGAGGUAUCCAGCAAGUUUUCUUUUUUCCUCACUCUUCCACUCUAUAUCCAGCCCUUCUUUCCAUCUCAAUGCUGCUGACAGUGGCCCCAGGCCCACCACCUUCUUGGGUGCAGACCCACAAAGGGAACAGCUUCUUGUAGAUUUUAUCACUUCCCAUUCACAGUCCCACUUCAGUAAUUAGAUGUUCUAGCUCCUCAGAUAUUCCUGAAAGCUCUGAUUAUCCCACCCAUUCCAAUGGUUUCUAGAACCUUCCAGCCCCCCUCUUAUCUUUUUAAAAAAAAUUUUUUUAAUUGUCAAUGAACCUUUAUUUUAUUUAUAUGUGGUGCUGAGGAUUGAACCCAGGGCCUCACACAUGCUAAGCGAGCGUUCUACUACUGAGCCACAACCCCAGCCCCCUCUUCUUAGCUUUAUACUCCCGGAUACUCCUAUAAAUUGUGCAUGGCCUAAUUAAUAUUUUAAAAUUCCUUAUUCCACAACAGGGAUAUAGCUCAGUGGCAAAGUGCUUUCCUAACAUGGUUGAGGCCCUGGGUUCAAUCCUUGGCACCACCAAAAAUGAAAAAAACCCUUAUUCCAUAAUAUUCAUAUUGAUUAUGCUUUCCCAAUUGAUAGUUACACUUUCUUUUCCUGAGAACUUGAACUUGAUAAGUGUUGUUCUAAAAGUGAGUGAUGCCAGUGAGAAGUCUUACACAAACUUGCUCUUUUUUUCCUUGUACAUUAUAUGAUGUGCCUUUCUGCCAUAUGAUAUUUUUUUUAAUUUUUGAAGUUCUUUUUUAAAAUAUUUUUUAGUUGUUGAUGGACCUUUUUUUUUAUUUAUAUAUGGUGCUGAGAAUUGAACUCAGUAUCUCACACAUGCUAGGCAAGUACUCUACCACCGAGCUACAACCCCAGCCCUGAAAUUAAGUUUUAUGGAAGCACGUAUCUUGGUCCUGAUUUAUUUUUUGCACUAAGGAUUUAACCCAGAGGCACAUUACUGCUGAGCUACAUUCCUAGUCAUUUUUAGUUUUCAUUUUGAGGCAGGGUCUUGCUAAAUUGCUGAUGCUGGCCUCAAACCUGUAAUCCUCCUGCCUCAGCCUCCAAAGUCACUGGGAAUACAAGCGUGCACCGCCACACCCGUAAAUCCUGAUCUUUUGUAUUAAUUUUACCUGGGUUAUAGUAAGCCAUUAUGGUUAUUAAUUUCAUGAAAGUUUUAUUUUGCAUAACUUUUUAUCUGAUCCAGUUUUUCUCUUAAAGGGAUGUCAAUUAUGUAAGAUAGCUUUGUCAUCUUCUACAUUUAUUUUGUACCACUCCAUGUUCAUUUCAUAUCAUUAUUCUUCUUGGAUUAGUGUGAUUGACUCUAGCCUCCUAUUAGAAGAUAAUUCUGUAUGAAGUUAUUAAUGUUUAUACUUUAACAACCAAUUUGUUCAGAUUUAUUUACAUUUCAAGAUAGUGGAGAUAGAGAAUGUCUCUUUUCUUUCUAGAGACAUUCCCAGAGUAGAUUUGGUAACAUUCCAGGGUAGUAAAAAUAAUGUCUCUAUUUGAAGAAGAGGAUGGGCAAUAAAACAAUAUUAAUAGCAUUUUCGUUCACAUUUUAAUCAUGUACAUUUUCAAUCAUGUAGAAAUAUUAAAAUAACUGUAUAAUAAACAUCCAUAUAACUUUCAUCUAGGUUUAACAAUGUAUAUAUAAAAUUUUCCUGAAAUAUCAAUAGUAAGUUGUAGACAUUGUAACAUUAUACCCCUAAAUAAUUGAGCAUCCAUGUCCUAAAAAUAAUAAUGUUCUCCCCAAAACUGGAAUAUCAUAUCAAUCUAAUUUGAUAAUGUCUCAUGUCCAAUUCAUUUUCAGUUUUUUUCCAUUGUCUCUGAAAUAUAUUUUACAGCUUCAUUGUGGUUUAAUUAGCAUAUACUAAAUGGCACUUGCUUAAAGUAUACAAUUUGAUGAGUUUUGAUGUGUGCACCUUUCAUCACUACAAUAAAAAUGAAUAUAUCCACUCCCGCAACAAGUUUCUUAUGCCUUUUUGUCAUCUAGUCCUUCUUUCUCUAUUACCUUUUCCCCAUCCAUAGGCAACCAUUGAUCUAUUUUCUGUCAUUAUAGACUAGUUUGCAUUUUCUGUAAUUUUAUAUAAAUAAAAUUAUAUGGUAAGCACUCUUGUUUGACUUUGUUCAGCAAGAUAAUUAUUUUGAGAUUCAUUUGUGUUGUUAUUUGUAUCCUUAUUCAUUGCUUUUUAUUGCUAAAUGGUAUUACAUUGUAUGUAUGUACCAAAGUUUGUUUAUCCAUUUAUGUAUUGGUGGCAAUUGGUUAUCUUGUUUCUAACUAUUACAAAUAAAAUUAAUAUGAACAUUUUCAUACAA